UCCUCCUUACAGAGGCGGUUCGUUCCUAGUUCCCGACAUUACUCGCUGGUAACAGAACGUGAGGGUUGCGCUCGUUGCGGGACUUAACCCAACAUUUCACAACACGAGCUGACGACAGCCAUGCACCACCUGUGCUACACCCUCGAAGGCGACUGCUUUUCGGCAGCUUGCAGUAGCAUGUCAAGCCCUGGUAUGGUUCUUCGCGUUGCAUCGAAUUAAGCCACAUGCUCCACCGCUUGUGCGGGCCCCCGCCAAUUCCUUUGAGUUUCAGCCUUGCGACCGUACUCCCCAGGCGGGGCACUUAGUGCGUUAGCUGCGACACCGAAGGGGUCGUUCCCACCGGCAUCUAGUGCCCAUCGUUUACGGCGUGGACUAC
rnacentral:misc_RNA from 1 species